GGCAGUUGGGAGUGAGCAAGAACUGAGGAAGAAACAGCCCGAACCAGAAAUAGGAGGGAUGAGGACCGCUGGGGGACGGUCAGAGGUUCCCGUAUGCUGUGUUUAAGGGAGUAGUCCUGAAGAAAAUGCUGGAAGGGUGAAAUUAAACCUAAGAACUCAGAGGAUACUCGGAAUGGAAUUCUUCUUUGAACGUCUUUGGGCUUCUUUGAACGUCUCCUUCCAGAGCGGAUGCUGCAGUUUCAGGUGUACAGCAAAGAGAAUCAGUUAAAACUGGGCAGUCUGGAACCUUCUGGCCCUCACCACUGAGGGCCCCACGGGACUUCUCCACCAUCAGCACCAAGCCCCACUCCAAGGGAAGAAGAGGUAACCUGCAUGGGAGACCCUGUCCUUCUUCCGAAACAAGGUGCCAGACCUGAAACAGUCCUUUCUUUUCUCUCGCCAGUGCCUUCCUUGCUGCACCCUCCUUCUUCCUAUUAAAACCUCCCAUUUUGUGCUGCCCCGCGGAGUGCCCUUUACCACCAUCACUGAAUAAAGC
ensembl:lncRNA